rnacentral:rRNA from 1 species
GUGCGUAAUAGCUCACUAGUCGAGUGACACUGCGCCGAAAAUGUACCGGGGCUAAACAUAUUACCGAAGCUGUGGAUUGUCCUUUGGACAAUGGUAGGAGAGCGUUCUAAGGGCGUUGAAGCAUGAUCGUAAGGACAUGUGGAGCGCUUAGAAGUGAGAAUGCCGGUGUGAGUAGCGAAAGACGGGUGAGAAUCCCGUCCACCGAUUGACUAAGGUUUCCAGAGGAAGGCUCGUCCGCUCUGGGUUAGUCGGGUCCUAAGCUGAGGCCGACAGGCGUAGGCGAUGGAUAACAGGUUGAUAUUCCUGUACCACCUAUAAUCGUUUUAAUCGAUGGGGGGACGCAGUAGGAUAGGCGAAGCGUGCGAUUGGAUUGCACGUCUAAGCAGUAAGGCUGAGUAUUAGGCAAAUCCGGUACUCGUUAAGGCUGAGCUGUGAUGGGGAGAAGACAUUGUGUCUUCGAGUCGUUGAUUUCACACUGCCGAGAAAAGCCUCUAGAUAGAAAAUAGGUGCCCGUACCGCAAACCGACACAGGUAGUCAAGAUGAGAAUUCUAAGGUGAGCGAG